CAGCAGUGAGGAAUAUUGGGCAAUGGGCGCAAGCCUGACCCAGCCAUGCCGCGUGAAGGAUGAAUGCCCUAUGGGUUGUAAACUUCUUUUGUACGGGACAAAACUCCUGGUCGUGACCGGGAUUGAUGGUACCGUACGAAUAAGCAUCGGCUAACUCCGUGCCAGCAGCCGCGGUAAUACGGAGGAUGCAAGCGUUAUCCGGAUUCAUUGGGUUUAAAGGGUGCGUAGGCGGAAUAGCAAGUCAGCGGUGAAAGCCUGUGGCUUAACCAUAGAAAUGCCGUUGAUACUGUUAUUCUUGAGUGUAGUUGAAGUGGGCGGAAUGUGUAAUGUAGCGGUGAAAUGCUUAGAUAUUACACAGAACACCAAUUGCGAAGGCAGCUCACUAAGCUAAUACUGACGCUGAGGCACGAAAGCGUGGGGAGCAAACAGGAUUAGA
rnacentral:rRNA from 1 species